CAAUACAUACAACUUUACACAAUUCACCGAGGGAUACCAACACACACCACACCUUCAACACACCCACGAUCUCACCACUACCCAACGAACAAAAGGGAUGGACGAUUGGACACGGGCCCUUUUUACGAUCGAUCGCCGUCGUAUACGCUUCAGCUGAGUCCUGUUGUGCGCCAACCCGGAUAUCUAUAUUUUCAUCUCGUUUUUCAAAUCAUUUUUAAACAACUUUAUAGUUUGAAAGACUAAAUAAAAUUGCAAGUUAGAAAAGCCUUUAUAGCCAUAUUUGUUCUGUUUCAUUUCGGGAGCGUGUGAAAGUGACACACACCAAAAUCCAACCUGCCGUUUAACGAAGCUCUUUGAGUUAACGUCCGCAUGUGGCGCUUGAAAUUUAAAUUCGAACACUUCAAACAAGUGGCGGAAUUCGGUAUACGCAAAAUCAAAAAUUCAACAGAACGGCGGGGCGAAUAAACAACUCAACGGAAUGAGAUGCCGAAAACGCCGAAAUGGAAUAAACGACGCUAAGAUGCGGUGAAACGCGAUCAGAUGGGAUUAGUAAAAUUCCAGCAGUAUUGCGGCGUCAAUAAUGGAAACAAUACCUGCAAUCACAUAUACAUGCUCGUAAUAAUCAUGACCAAUUCUGUAUAACAGCUACGACUGCACGGAUUUAUUUUAACAAUAUCUACUUAAAGUACGACUAAAAAGUUUUUGUUACUGUUAUUAUUAUAAAAUUUUAUUUUGAAUAGUGCACAAAAUAAGUUUGCGUCUUUUUCAAAUCAAUAAAAAAACAAAGUUCAACGACAUUUGAUUUCGCUCGGUUAGAGGCGACGGCAACGACCCGAACGUACCAAACACCGUCCGUCCGAUGCUGUCUGUCAAAAGCACGGGUGUGCAGGUAUGUAUAUUUGUAUGUGCUUCAAGCCGCUACGUUGCAUUGAGUGAACGUAGAAGCUAAGAGCAGGGCUGAGGCAUGCUGACCUUCAUUCGACAACUCAACACAGGCAUUUCUGGUUUCCUCUUUUGUACUUUGUUUGUUUAUCUUUUUUGCUGUUUAUUAAUUAAGCCUUUUUACAUUGUAUUCUGAAUAUUUUGAUAUCAUGUUUUGUGAUUUCUAUUUUUACAUAUCUCUUGGCUGGAGGUGCAGAGCUACGAAAUUGGCUGCGAUUUAGCUCUUGGUGCUGCGUGCUUCGAGAGAAUAAACAGUUGUAGAUGUUUUUUUUUAGCAUAAAAACUAAAAGCGAAAGUGUAAAUGUGCCGCCUUUCGUUAACACUGCCCACCAGACCAUACCGGAAAUACACACGCAAACACAUUAGCGUAUGGCAAAACGAACGCACACUUGCAGUUCUGUCAACACUGACAAGUGAAUAUAUUACGGCUACGAAGUCAUCGAAAACUUGCCUCGUGGGAGUCGUCCAUCCACCUCUGUUAAUAAUGAAAACAUCGAAAAUGUUGUUCACCAGAGGAAUAGCAGAGGAACUCAACAUCAAUCAGCUAUAUAUUGACUUAACACAUUUUGGUUAAUGUUUCGAAACUGAAAAACCAAAAUUCAUUUUCACUAAAGGACAUCCCAGCCGAGGCUUAUAACAAAUGUAUGGAAAAUUAGAAUAAGCGUAGACAUACUUGUAUUGGUUAAGGAGCCUAUUUUGUUGGCGAUAAUAAAGUUUUAUAUUAAAA